UUUCCGUUGGUGAACCAGCGGAAGGAUCAUUACAGAGAUCGUGCCCUUCGGGGUAGACCUCCCACCCUGUGUUAUUUACGUAUGUUGCUUUGGCGGGCCGCCUCCGGGCUCUCGGCUUCGGCCGAGGUGUGCCCGCCAGAGAACCCACAACCCUGUGUUUAGUGUUGUCUGAGUAUUAUCAAAUAAGUUAAAACUUUCAACAACGGAUCUCUUGGUUCUG
rnacentral:misc_RNA from 1 species